UAUUUUUAGUAGAGACGGGGUUUCACUGUGUUAGCCAGGGUGGUCUCGAUCUCCUGACCUCGUGAUCUGCCCACCUUGGCCUCCCAAAGGCUUCAUAAACUUCUUCUUUUUUUUUUUUUUGAGGCAGGUCUUCUGUGGCCCAGACUGAAGGCAUGCACCACCACGCCCGGCUAAUUUUGUUUGUUUAAUAGAGACAGGGUUUCUCCAUGUUGGUCAGGCUGGUCUUGAACUCCUGACCUCAGGUGAUCUGCUUACCUUGGCCUCCCAAAGCGCUGGGAUUACAGGCAUGAGCCACUGCGCCAGGCCCCACCCAGCUAAUUUUUUUUAUUUUUAGUAGAGAUGGGGUUUCACCAUGUUGGCCAGGAUGGUCUUGAUCUCUUGACCUCGUGAUCCGCCUGCCUCGGCCUCCCAAAGUGCUGGGAUUACAGGUGUGUGCCACCGCACCCGGCUGCUUUGUAAGUUUUUUAUACAUUGGAAAAAAAAAAUCCCUGGGAUGUAGC
rnacentral:lncRNA from 1 species